rnacentral:rRNA from 1 species
GAUGAACGCUAGCGGGAGGCUUAACACAUGCAAGUCGAGGGGUAAAUGGCAGCAAUGCUAUGAGACCGGCGAACGGGUGCGUAACGCGUGGAUAAUCUACCUGACAUUUUGGGAUAACAUUUCGAAAGGGGUGCUAAUACCGGAUAAGACCACGAGGCCUUAGGGCCAUGGGGUAAAAGGUGGGGACCUUCGGGCCUGCCGAUGUCAGAUGAGUCCGCGUACCAUUAGCUAGUUGGUGGGGUAAAGGCCUACCAAGGCGACGAUGGUUAGCUGGUCUGAGAGGAUGAUCAGCCACACUGGAACUGAGACACGGUCCAGACUCCUACGGGAGGCAGCAGUGGGGAACUUUGCGCAAUGGGGGAAACCCUGACGCAGCAACGCCGCGUGAGUGAUGAAGGCCUUCGGGUCGUAAGCUCUGUCAGAGGG